rnacentral:rRNA from 1 species
UACGUAGGUCCCGAGCGUUGUCCGGAUUUAUUGGGCGUAAAGCGAGCGUAGGCGGAUUUUUAAGUGAGAUGUGAAAUACUCGGGCUCAACUUGAGUGCUGCAUUUCAAACUGGAAGUCUAGAGUGCAGGAGAGGAGAAUGGAAUUCCUAGUGUAGCGGUGAAAUGCGUAGAGAUUAGGAAGAAUACCAGUGGCGAAGGCGAUUCUCUGGACUGUAACUGACGCUGAGGCUCGAAAGCGUGGGGAGCAAACAGG